rnacentral:rRNA from 1 species
AUACGGAGGAUCCAAGCGUUAUCCGGAUUUAUUGGGUUUAAAGGGUGCGCAGGCGGAAGAUUAAGUCGGCGGUGAAAUUUUGCAGCUCAACUGUAAAAGUGCCAUCGAUACUGGUUUUCUUGAGUGUGGAUGAAGUAGGCGGAAUUUGUGGUGUAGCGGUGAAAUGCAUAGAUAUCACGAGGAACUCCGAUUGCGCAGGCAGCUUACGAGGCCAUAACGGACGCUCAGGCACGAAGGCGUGGGGAUCAAACAGGAUUAGAUACCCUGGUAGUCCACGCAGUAAACGAUGAUUGCUCGCUGUUUGCGAUACACAGUAAGCGGCUUAGCGAAAGCGUUAAGUAAUCCACCUGGGGAGUACGGUCGCAAGAAUGAAACUCAAAUGAAUUGACGGGG